UUGACACUGGUAAAGUUUCUCUGGGCGGGCUUUCCAAUUGUGUUUCUCUUUAACUUCCUUCUUCCUCCUGUAACUUUCCAAUUUUGGUGUUUCUCUCUCCACGAUCCUCAACUAAUCAUUAAUCAUCUCUUCAUCAUGAACAAAUUCAAUAUGCAGCAAAACAAUAUGAGCUUUCCAUAUUUCCAGUACUAUCAAUCCGACCUCCAAAACCCUAAUACUAAUCCCAUCGAUC
rnacentral:lncRNA from 1 species